rnacentral:rRNA from 1 species
UACGGAGGGAGCUAGCGUUGUUCGGAAUUACUGGGCGUAAAGCGUGUGUAGGCGGUUUGCUAAGUCGGAUGUGAAAGCCCCGGGCUCAACCCGGGAAGUGCACUCGAAACUGGCAGGCUAGAGUACUGGAGAGGUUGGUGGAAUUCUCGGUGUAGAGGUGAAAUGCGUAGAUAUCGGGAGGAACACCUGUGGCGAAGGCGGCCCCCUGGUUGGAUACUGACGCUGAUACGCGAAAGCGUGGGGAGCAAACAGG